ensembl:lncRNA
UGUUUUUGCUCUAAAUAAUAGAUAUUUAUUGUAUUUCACUACGUGACAUGCAGCAUGAAACAUGUACAGUUUUAAAGCAGCAGACAAUCAUAAUACUUGAAGUCCAACAUGAACAAAACGUUUUAUCACAAAUGCACAGAAAGCAUCCAUGAAAGCAAUCACCAGUUAAGGUCAAAGGUAUUGUACUCUCACACAGUGAAACAUGGACAGUAUAGCAGGUCUAAGGUAUUGUACUCUCACACAGUGAAACAUGGACAGUAUAGCAGGUCUAAGGUAUUGUACUCUCACACAGUGAAACAUGGACAGUAUAGCAGGUCUAAGGUAUUGUACUCUCACACAGUGAAACAUGGACAGUAUAGCAGGUCUAAGGCAUUAUACUCUCACACAGUGAAACAUGGACAGUAUAGCAGGUCUAAGGCAUUAUACUCUCACACAGUGAAACAUGGACAUGGAUUUGGGAUUUUGGCUUAUUUUUUUUCAGAGGAUUUGGUUUUCUUUGUGUUUUUUGUGUUCAUUUUUUAAAAGUGCUGGUCCAUCAAGUAUGUCAUUAUCCCUUUAUUGAUAAUGCACCCCUCACCUUCAAUCAGAAUGCAAAGUCGACCUCCAUGAUAAACCCUGGUUUGUGGCACCACCAGUCCUGAUCAGUAGGACUUUCUGGUUUCCUAUGCAACUCUAGACAGGACAAUAAGGGCUGUGCCAGCCAACCACAUUACAGGGAAAUAAUGUUUCCUGUCUCAGGAAUCUGGAAUCCCAACAGGGUCUGGUCAGAGUACAUUAGUUCAGAUACACCUGUUACUGUCAGCCUUUCACUCAAAAGACUGGGCAUUGUUGGCCAACAGAGAUAUUUUUUGUCCGUUGCCUGUCUGUGCGGUCAGUUGGCUCCCUCUACAGGUUGCAGUGAGACCUGCAGGAUGUCCACGUGGUUGUAGAACUCAGGCAUUGGUAGAGAAUAGGAGGAGGAGGAGGUGUGGGCAGAAGAAGACUAACAGAGGCAUAGAAGAGGAAGAGGAGGAGAAAGUGGGGAUAGACUCCUGCUGAAUCUUCUCAAUGAACUCUGUUAGCCAGGGUAACUGGGACCACUUCCUUCUCGCCAGAAUCUCCCUCUCUACCAGCUGUCUGACAAGGAACAGGAAAUUGUUCCACUGCAAAGAAGCACAUGACAAAGAACAUGGAUGGCUCUGAUCUGGGGGAAACCACAGGUAAUAGUUAUUUUGUUAUGGUAAUAUACUGGUAAUACUGAUAUAUUGUAUUGGUAAUACCCUGGUAAUACUGUAAUAGUGUUAUGGUAAUAUACUGGUAUAUUGUUAUGGUAAUAUACUGUUAUAUUGUUAUGGUAAUAUACUGGUAAUACUGUUAUAUUGGUAUGGUAAAAUGCUGGUACUAAUGUUAUAUUGUUAUGGUAAUAUACUGUUAUAUUGUUCUGGUAAUAUACUGGUAGUACUGAUAUAGUGUUAUGGUAAUAUUCUGGUAAUAAUGUUAUGGUGUUAUGGUAAUAUUCUGGUUAUAUUGUUAUGGCAAUAUACCAGCAAUACUAUUAUGUUGUUAUGGUAAUAUACUGGUUAUAUUGUUAUGGCAAUAUAACAGUAAUACUGUUAAAAUCAAAUCAAAUCAAAUUUUAUUUGUCACAUACACAUGGUUAGCAGAUGUUAAUGCGAGUGUAGCGAAAUGCUUGUGCUUCUAGUUCCGACAAUGCAGUAAUAACCAACAAGUAAUCUAACUAACAAUUCCAAAACUACUGUCUUAUACACAGUGUAAGGGGAUAAAGAAUAUGUACAUAAGGAUAUAUGAAUGAGUGAUGGUACAGAGCAGCAUAGGCAAGAUUGUAUUGUAUUAUUAUACAAUUAUUAUUAUUAUUAUUAUAUUGUUAUGGUAAUAUACUGGUAAUACUGUUACUGUAAUACUGUUAUAUUGUUAUGGUAAUACCCUGGUAAUACAGUUAUGGUAAUACCCUGGUAAUACUGUUAUGGUAAUAUACUGGUAAUACUGUUUUGGUAAUACCCUGGUUAUACUGUUAUGGUAAUAUAAUGGUAAUACUGUUAUAUUGUUAUGGAAAUAUCCCGGUUAUAGUGUUAUAUUGGCAUGGUAAUUUACUGGUAAUACUGCAAUAUACUGGCACCACUUAUAUUGUUAUGGUAAUAUACUGUUAUAUUGUUAUAGUAAUAUACUGUUAUAUUGUUAUGGUAAUACCCUGGCAAUAGUGGUAAAUUGUUAUGGUAAUAUACCGGUAAUACUGUUACAUUGUUAUGGUAAUAUACUAGUAAUACUAAUAUAUUGUUAUGGUAAUACCCUGGUAAUACUGUUAUAUUGUUCUGGUGAUAUACUGGUAAUAAUGUUAUAUUGGUAUGGUAAUAUACUGGUAAUAUACCGGUAAUAAUGUUAUAUUGGUAUGGUAAUAUACAGGUAAUAGUUGUAUUGUUAUGGUAAUAUACUGGUAAUAGUUAGAUAUUGUUAUGGUAAUACUGGUAACAUACUGCUUGUAUACUGGUAGAAUAUUGAGCCACAGACAUGUUCAAAAGGUAAAUGAGGCUUACUUCUGAGCCACUGGCCCCGAGGACAGUAGUGAGUGUGAUCUCAAAGAAGAACAAGGGGAGGGGUUCUGAGGAGCAACAGUCUCCUCCCCACAAGACCCCCAGCUGAUCCAGCAGGGCUUGGAUGGUCACUGGGAGCUGUACUGCACUCCUCCUGGAACCACACCACAGGUAGGUCCCCUGACACCACCCACCCACACCCAACCACCAUAAUAACCAUCAUCACCAUAAUAACCACCAUCAUCAUCAUAAUCAUAAUAAAUAUCAACACCAUAAUAACCAUCCCCACCACCAUAAUAACCAUGAACACCAUAAUAACCAUCAUCAUCACCACCACAAUAACCAUCAACACCAUAACCAUCAUCAUCAUAAUAACCAUCAUCAUCACCACCACAAUAACCAUCAUCAUCAUCACCAUAAUAACCAUCAUCACCAUAAUAACCAUCAACACCAUAAUAACCAUCAACACCAUAACCAUAAUUACCAUAAUAACCAUCAUCCCCAUAAUAACCAUCAACACCAUCAUCACCAUAAUAACCAUCAACACCAUAACCAUAAUUACCAUAAUAACCACCAUCCCCAUAAUAACCAUCAACACCAUAAUAACCAUCAACACCAUCAUCACCAUAAUAACCAUCAACACCAUAACCAUAAUUACCAUAAUAACCAUCAUCCCCAUAAUAACCAUCAACACCAUAAUCAUCACCACCACCACAAUAACCAUCAUCAUCACCAUAAUCACCAUAAUAACUAUCCUCACCACCAUAAUAACCAUCAUCACCAUAAUAACCAUCAUUCCCAUAAUAACCAUCAACACCAUAAUAACCAUCAUCACCAUAAUAACCAUCAUCAUCACCACCAUAAUAACCAUCAUCACCAUAAUAACCAUCAUCACCACCACCAUAAUAACCAUCAUCCCCAUAAUAACCAUCAUCAUCACCACCAUAAUAACCAUCAUCAUCCCCAUAAUAACCAUCAUCAUCACCACCAUAAUAACCAUCAUCAUCCCCAUAAUAACCAUCAUCAUCAUCAUCACCAUAAUAACAUCAUCCCCAUAAUAACCAUCAUCAUCACCACCACAAUAACCACCAUCAUCAUCACCAUAAUCACCAUAAUAACUAUCCUCAUCACCAUAAUAACCAUCAUCACCAUAAUAACCAUCAUUCCCAUAAUAACCAUCAACACCAUAACCAUCAACACCAUAAUAACCAUCAUCACCAUAAUAACCAUCAUCAUCACCACCAUAAUAACCAUCAUCACCAUAAUAACCAUCAUCCCCAUAAUAACCAUCAUCAUCACCACCAUAAGAACCAUCAUCCCCAUAAUAACCAUCAUCCCCAUAAUAACCAUCAUCAUCACCACCAUAAUAACCAUCAUCAUCCCCAUAAUAACCAUCAUCAUCAUCCCCAUAAUAACCAUCAUCCCCAUAAUAACCAUCAUCCCCAUAAUAACCAUCAUCCCCAUAAUAACCAUCAUCAUCACCACCAUAAUAACCAUCAUCCCCAUAAUAACAAUCAUCACCAUAAUAACCAUCAUCACCAUAAUAACCAUCAUCACCACCAUAAUAACCAUCAUCCCCAUAAUAACGAUCAUCACCAUAAUAACCAUCAUCCCCAUAAUAACGAUCAUCACCAUAAUAACGAUCACCAUAAUAACGAUCAUCACCAUAAUAACCAUCAUCACAAUAACCAUCAUCACCACCAUAAUAACCAUCAUCCCCAUAAUAACCAUCAUCACCAUAAUAACCAUCAUCACCAUAAUAACCAUCAUCACCAUAAUAAUGUCAAAGCCACCUUGCCUUUUCCUGUCUUGGUGUCCGUGGCUGUUCCUGGGUGCCGUCGCAGCACCGGCCCCACUUCCAGUCUUAGCCUCGGCCCCACCCACACCACCAGUCUCUGAGGGCACUGAGCUGGGACGAGACUGGAUGUUCUCAGACGUGGUGAGA